GACGAACGCUGGCGGCGUGCUUAACACAUGCAAGUCGAACGGGAUUUAGUAAACAGAAACCUCGGUGGAAGAUUACUAAUGAGAGUGGCGAACGGGUGAGUAACGCGUGAGCAACCUGCCUAUGACAGUGGGAUAGCCUCGGGAAACCGGGAUUAAUACCGCAUCAAAUCGUAGAAACACAUGUUUUAACGGUCAAAGAUUUAUCGGUCAUAGAUGGGCUCGCGUCUGAUUAGCUAGUUGGUGAGAUAACAGCCCACCAAGGCGACGAUCAGUAGCCGGUAGGAGAGGAUGAACGGCCACAUUGGAACUGAGACACGGUCCACACUCCUACGGGAGGCAGCAGUGGGGAAUAUUGCACAAUGGGGGAAACCCUGAUGCAGCGACGCCGCGUGAACGAAGAAGGUAUUCGUAUCGUAAAGUUCUGUCCUAUGGGAAGAUAAUGACAGUACCAUAGAAGAAAGCUCCGGCUAAAUACGUG
rnacentral:rRNA from 1 species